rnacentral:tmRNA from 1 species
GGGGCUGUACUGGUUUCGAUUGCGAACCGAGUCCAUGGAAGCGUGCCGGGAAGAUACGCCCGUAACAGUUCAACCUUAUAAGCGCUGCUUUUGUCGCUGCUGAUUACGCCGUAGGUGCGUGAUCCGGUGGGGUUCAGAGUUUUACCCGUUUUCUGAACUAUCCCACCGUCAUUCAAACGGGGAACCCUCGCAGGAAUUGAGCUGAUACGUCGCAAGAGGCUAAAUAGCGGAAGUCACCAGCAGAGUCGGAAUGGAGACCGGCAACUGAGCGUGUCGGGCGUCCCACCCCGAUGCGACGGAGCGAGUGGGACUACGCACGUAGAAGAAUGAGUACAGAGAACGUAAGACGCGGGUUCGAUUCCCGCCAGCUCCACCA